rnacentral:rRNA from 1 species
GUCGGAAUCCGCUAAGGAGUGUGUAACAACUCACCUGCCGAAUGAAUUAGCCCUGAAAAUGGAUGGCGCUGAAGCGGGCAGCCGACACCACGCCGUCUGGGCGAGUGAUUUUUGCCUCAGAUGAGUAGGAGGACGUGGCGGUCGUAUGGAAGCGUAUGCGCGAGCAUGCGUGGAACGGCCGCCAGUGCAGAUCUUGGUGUUAGUAGCAAAUAUUCAAACGAGAACCUUGAAGGGCGAAGCGGGGAAGGGUUCCACGCGUACAUUGAUUGGGUGUGGGUAAGUCGUUCCUAAGCCGCGUGGCAAUAGCUAAUACUACUGGCGAAAGGGAAGCAGGUUGACAUUCCUGCACACGGAUGUGGAGGCGGUGACGCACUUUCUGGGGUAAUGAAGCUGGCUGUGGCACUGGGCAGAGUUGUCUUUUCUGUUUAACCGCUCUCUCACUGUGUGGAAUCCGCUUGUCGGGAGAAACACGUGUUGACGGGCAUAGCGCCGGAGCUUUCCCGGCGUCCAGUUCGCUACGGACGGACCUUGAAAAAUUACCUGCUGGCACGGUCGGUUUUAUUUUUUUAAAACUCAGAUCUGUGUAUGAAAAAUCCACGCCGUAACGUACCGAUAACCGCAUCAGGUCCCCAAGGUGAACAGCCUCUGCUCGAUAUGAUCAAUGCAGGUAAGGGAAGUCGGCAAAAUAGACCCGUAACUUUGGGAAAAGGGUUGGCUCUAGUGCUGUGUGGGACUGGUUGUUGAGGUGUCUGAGCUGCUCCUGUUGACUGUGCUGCGGAGCUUGCAAAGCUGGAAUUUUUAAUUUUGGUGGCGCUCGCGCUGAAGUUGGUUGACGGUCGAACGGUCUUGGCCCCGCGACGACGCCCACGGCAUGCAGCAAACUAGAACUGCAACGGGCAAAGGGAAUCCGACUGUUUAAUUAAAACAAAGCAUUGCGAAGGCCGUGGCCGGUGUUGACGCAA